rnacentral:rRNA from 1 species
CUCGGUACCUUUAGCGGAGGGGAAACACCUGUUCCCAUUCCGAACACAGAAGUUAAGCCCUCCAGCGCCGAUGGUAGUCCUUCGGGCAAGAGUAGGUCGGUGCCGAGA